UGUUAUCUGUUGAGGAUAAUAAAAGAGGCCAGCGUCAUUGGAUCACAGACUGGAAACCAACAGUGCCCAAAACAAUUGUAGAGCCAGAAGACUGAAGACUGAAAUUCUCCUUUAUCCUGAUCUCACCAACUCCACUUCAACCCUUAUAUGUUGAUCUCCAUCAACAAGGAGAAAGUGAUGGAGAAUGUAAACUGGAAUGACCUCCAGGAAAUGAUGCAGAGAGAAAGGAGCAGAACCAGGAGAACGUUGUACACAGAGACUGAUACACGGUGGUACAAUCAAAUGUAAUGGACUACUCCAGUAGUGGCAAUGCAGUGAUCCUGAACAAUCCAAAGGGAUCUAUGAGAAAGAACACUAUCCACAUGUUGAGGAAAAACUGUGAGAGUAGAAACAGAAGAAAAACAACUGCUUGAAUACAUGGGUCAAGGGGAUAUGAUUGGGGAUAUCUACUCCAAAGGAACAUCCUAAUGCAAACACCAACAACAUGGAAAUAGGUUCUGAUCAAGGUAAUACCCAGUGGAAUUGCGCGUUGGCUAUGGGAAGGGGGUUAGGGAGGGAAAUAAUAUGAUUCUUGUAACCAAGGAAUAAUGUUCUAAAUAAAAUUACUAAAUAAAU
rnacentral:lncRNA from 1 species